rnacentral:rRNA from 1 species
GGGUGAGUAACACGUAUGCAACCUGCCCCUGUCAGGGGGACAACCCGCCGAAAGGCGGGCUAAACCCGCGUACAUGCCACCGGGGCAUCCCGGAGGCAGGAAAGGCUUCGGCCGGACAGGGAUGGGCAUGCGGCGCAUUAGGCAGUAGGCGGGGUAACGGCCCACCUAACCGACGAUGCGUAGGGGUUCUGAGAGGAAGGUCCCCCACACUGGUACUGAGACACGGACCAGACUCCUACGGGAGGCAGCAGUGAGGAAUAUUGGUCAAUGGUCGGGAGACUGAACCAGCCAAGCCGCGUGAGGGAUGAAGGUACAGAGUAUCGUAAACCUCUUUUGUCAGGGAACAAAGGCGGGGACGUGUCCCCGGAUGAGUGUACCUGAAGAAAAAGCAUCGGCUAACUCCGUGCCAGCAGCCGCGGUAAUACGGAGGAUGCGAGCGUUAUCCGGAUUUAUUGGGUUUAAAGGGUGCGCAGGCGGUCUGUUAAGUCAGCGGUCAAAGCCCGGGGCUCAACCCCGGCCCGCCGUUGAAACUGGCAGUCUCGAGUUGGAGAGAAGUAUGCGGAAUGCGCGGUGUAGCGGUGAAAUGCAUAGAUAUCGCGCAGAACUCCGAUCGCGAAGGCAGCAUGCCGGCUCCACACUGACGCUGAGGCACGAAAGCGUGGGUAUCGAACAGGAUUAGAUACCCUGGUAGUCCACGCAGUAA